rnacentral:rRNA from 1 species
GAAUUGACGGGGGCCCGCACAAGCAGUGGAGUAUGUGGUUUAAUUCGAAGCAACGCGAAGAACCUUACCAGAUCUUGACAUCCAACUAAUCCUGUAGAAAUAUGGGAGUGCCCUUCGGGGAAAGUUGAGACAGGUGGUGCAUGGUUGUCGUCAGCUCGUGUCGUGAGAUGUUGGGUUAAGUCCCGCAACGAGCGCAACCCUUGUGAUUAGUUGCUACGCAAGAGCACUCUGAUCAGACUGCCGUUGACAAAACAGAGGAAGGUGGGGACGACGUCAAAUCAUCAUGCCCCUUAUGAUCUGGGCUACACACGUACUACAAUGGCCAUCAACAAAGGGAAGCAAAGCCGCGAGGCGGAGCAAAUCCCCAAAAAUGGUCCCAGUUCGGAUCGCAGGCUGCAACCCGCCUGCGUGAAGCCGGAAUUGCUAGUAAUCGCGGAUCAUCAUGCCGCGGUGAAUACGUUCCCGGGCCUUGUACACACCG